UACGUAGGUGGCAAGCGUUGUUCGGAAUUACUGGGCGUAAAGCGCGCGUAGGCGGCUUUGUAAGUUAGAGGUGAAAGCCCGGAGCUCAACUCCGGAACUGCCUUUAAGACUGCAUCGCUAGAACGAUGGAGAGGUGAGUGGAAUUCCGAGUGUAGAGGUGAAAUUCGUAGAUAUUCGGAAGAACACCAGUGGCGAAGGCGACUCACUGGACAUCUGUUGACGCUGAGGUGCGAAAGCGUGGGGAGCAAACAGG
rnacentral:rRNA from 1 species